UACGGAGGAUGCGAGCGUUAUCCGGAUUUAUUGGGUUUAAAGGGUGCGUAGGCGGACGCUUAAGUCAGCGGUAAAAUUGCGGGGCUCAACCUCGUCGAGCCGUUGAAACUGGGUGUCUUGAGUGGCGAGAAGUACGCGGAAUGCGUGGUGUAGCGGUGAAAUGCAUAGAUAUCACGCAGAACUCCGAUUGCGAAGGCAGCGUACCGGCGCCCAACUGACGCUGAAGCACGAAGGCGUGGGUAUCGAACAGG
rnacentral:rRNA from 1 species